rnacentral:rRNA from 1 species
AGUCGUAACAAGGUUUCCGUAGGUGAACCUGCGGAAGGAUCAUUAACAAAUCAUGGUAGCACACUGGAGCAAUCUGGUGUUGCCCACAUAAACCCGAACCUGUGCAGCAAUGCCAGGCGAGGUGUAGGGCCUUCGGGUCCUGCGGUGAAGAGUUAUGGGGAGAGUUUUCUCUGCAUGGCCUGGAUCCACAUAGACGCUUUUUUAGUUUGACAGUAUCAGUUGACACAAUCAAAAUGACAACUUUUAACAAUGGAUCUCUUGGCUCUUGCAACGAUGAAGAACGCAGUGAAAUGCGAAAAGUAAUGCGAUUUGCAUGAAUCUGUGAGUCAUCAAGUCUUUGAACGCACCUUGCACCGUAUGAGCAAUUGUACGGUAUACCUGUUUGAGAAUCGUAAAACUCUCUUUUCUUUGGAGAAGGAUGUGUCGGUUGUGUCCGCCUCGGUGGAUACUCUGAUUAAAUGGAGUAGGUUUGGAUCGGGCUGGUGGCCUGAGACACUGUGUGCUAGAGACUAGCAGUCGUUUACUCGACUGGUCUGUCUUCUCAUGGUGCGUCUCAGGUCAUUUAAAGCUGGCCUGUUCAUCUGACCCUUUAACUGCGCCAAGGUCUUGUGCCUUGGGCAACCCCAAUCUUUGAUCUCAAAUCAGGUAAGGCUACCCGCUGACUUAAGCAUAUCAGUAAGCGGAGGAAAAGAAACUAACAGGAUUCCCCUAGUAACGGCGAGCGAAGCGGGAAGAGUUCAAAUUUAAAAUCUGGGUGGCUUUGCUACUCCGAAUUGUAAUUUAAAGAGGCGUUAUCUGGGUCUGUCGCGGUGCUCAAGUCCGUUGGAAUACGGCGUCACAGAGGGUGAGAACCCCGUCUGGGCACUGAGGCAGAUCCUCUAUGAGGCGUUUUCUACGAGUCGAGUUGUUUGGGAAUGCAGCUCAAAAUGGGUGGUAAAUUUCAUCUAAGACUAAAUACUGGCAAGAGACCGAUAGCGAACAAGUACCGUGAGGGAAAGAUGAAAAGCACCUUGAAAAGGGAGUUAAAUAGUGCGUGAAAUUGUUAAAAGGGAAACGAUUGAGACCAGUAUUACUGCUGACCGCUCAGCGUCGCGUUGGGCAACCUGCGUGGCGUGUAUUCGGUUGGCGGUGAGUCAGCGUCAGUUUGGGCUUCCGGAGAGAGGUUAGAGGAAGGUGGGGUUGUCCUUCGGGCCAACUCUUUAUAGACUCUGGCUGGCACGAGGAGCCUGGACUGAGGUGCGCGUCUGCAGUACUCACUGUUCGAGCCCGGCUCCCAUGGCCAAGGACUACACGUAGACCUUGGCUGCAAGGGCAGGAGGUAGGAUGGUGCAUGCAGUCAAGGAUGCUGACGAAAUGGUCUUAAACGACC